UAAYGACUCUCGGCAACGGAUAUCUCGGCUCUCGCAUCGAUGAAGAACGUAGCGAAAUGCGAUACUUGGUGUGAAUUGCAGAAUCCCGUGAACCAUCGAGUCUUUGAACGCAAGUUGCGCCCUAAGCUGUUAGGCUGAGGGCACGUCUGCCUGGGUGUCACG
rnacentral:rRNA from 1 species